rnacentral:lncRNA from 1 species
AUGGGUUUCUUCCACGGGAUGGAUCGUUGUUAAUAUUUUGUCCUUUGUUUUGUAUCGGCCUUGACAUCGAUGGAUUUGAAAUUUUGCAGUCACAAGACUGAUGUCUUAAAGCGUUAUUUUCCGUUUCUAAUUUUAAGCAACGAGCAGCCAAACCUUCUAUUGACGUCUUGUUUAGAAUUUCUUUUUCUUCCAAAUCUGCUACUUGAUCUUUAAGAUCCCGAAGUAUGACAGAUAAUACAUUAUUUUCAUCGUGCAAAAAAUCA